AUCCAAGCAGCAGAAUGAAGCUCUGAAAUCUGAAAUGGAGCUUGAGUUAGUUUGACCAGGUUGAGUCCAAUGAACAAAAGGAAGCAAUCUAAAUUUUCUUAGAAUUAUUCUAGAAAACAUAGUUGAUAGUAUUUUGAAUUAUUUUUCACCUGGGAAUUUUAUAUUCAUGGACAGAUUCUGUUCUGUAUUUAAAAUUUCCUCAGUUUACAGGAAUUGAGUGACAUUUUUCUAUAAACUUGUUCAUUAACAAAUUGGCUUUUUCUAGAAUUAUGUCUAUAAUGCAUUCCACUGCAAAAAAAUAAUUUUAGUUUUUUAGGUAAUGCCAUACAUUUGGACAUAAAGAUUAAUUUAGAUUUAUGAGAAUUAUUUGAUUUAAAAAAUGAGAGUAAACUUAACUUUCCAUAAUUUCCACACAUAAUUAAAAUGUUUUUUUAUUAGCUUUUAUGAGAGAAGUGUUUUCUCUAACCCCCACCCCAUACUCAUUCAGGUGCAUUUCCCCUAGUAAAAAGUAAACCCAAUAUUUUAUUCAAAGCCAUUUUUCCUAAAAUUCUUAAAAACUUUGUAUUUGGAUGUGAUGGUAAUUACAUGUCUGAAAUCAGUUGCCUAAAAUUAUUGAAAACAGUAAAACUGCAGUACCCUUCGUGUGGAGAGUCUGUUCCCUGGAUGUUUUUCAGCUUGGGAUUUUUGGCCAUAGCUGUCAUUCCUCUACUCAUGGAGAUACAGUGAUGGUAAAUCUAGCCAGUAAAGUUGUUUUGCAGUUUAGUCAUCCUGUUUUUUGCUUAGCAGUCGCACUACGGGUACAUGUAAGACACAAGUACUUUUUCUAGCUAACUCAUGUAUAUAGGAGUGGACCUUUUUCUUAUUAAUCUUCAGUUUUAUAUCUGAAGAUGAGCUACAGUAUUAAUCGAAGUAGUAUGCAAUUUUUGAGUGCGUUUGGGUAGAAAAGCAUUGAAAAGUAGGAAUAUCCCAAGUAUUUGUGUAUGCCAGUUUAUUUGGUGUCAACACCUAGAUCAGUAUCAAAUCUGCAAUGCAGUAGGACCUAGAGUUUAAUUGGGAAGUAGUUGUAAAAGAUUUUGUUCUUAACACUUUCUCAUCCUUGCCAGUUGACUAAAAAUACAGAUGAUUGAAUAGUUUCCCUCCAACUUCAUUUGUAUGGUACGGUAGGUUAGAAAUUGGUGGAAGGAUUACAUUCACGAAGUUUACCUAGCAUUCAGAAAAUACAACACCCAAGUAUUUUGUGGAAUCACUUGUGAUUGUAAACCCAGUGUUAGGCCAGUCUAUCAGUCAUUGACUGGAUAGAGGAACUUCUGGAUACUUAUUACUAUGCUUUUAGGGUAGAGAAUUUAGACAUUUGUUUAAUGUGUACUUAAUUUUAUUUGCCUAAGAGAGUAAGCCUAGAAAAUUUGUUAAACCUGCAUCUUGACAACACUGGGUUUUGCUUUCAAUCUGAAUCUGAGUGGGAAAAAUGCUGUACAGUAGUAGAAAGUGAUGAGGUUAGUGAGUCUGGACUACUAGACCAAGUCUGCAAACAUCUCUUCAAGAAAGAUUUCAGUUCUUUACACCAUUAUAGUCAUUGCUUGGCAGUGCGUAAUCUACUCAUGUGCAUGUUCAGUUUGAUAAUGUAUAAUACUGUAAGUUAUUCAGGGAUUCCAGGCUGAAACGCUAACAUAGUGCAGUAUCUGGUUGAUAAAUACUGAACUAUUUGUAGCAUGUUCUUUGCUGCUUUUUCCUUUGAUAGGCCUGUUCCAUGAUAUUAAAGAAGAAAGAAUUAGUUGUACUUGGUAAACACUCAAAACCUUUGCUACAGUAGUAUCUGUCAAAAAACUUAAGUCACUAAGAACAAAGAUAGCUAAUAGACAUCGAGUUUAUGUGCUAUAAAUAUUUCAAAAGCAUUGACAAGAUAAUAGUGAUUACAGAUUAUUUGGCAACCAGCUUUUGAGCUGUUAAGGGAGAGUUAUGGACAAGUACAAGAACAAAAGUUUCCAACAUUAUUUUUUUCUUUGAAAAGUAAUAAAGCAAAAAAUAUGCUGAUUUAAAUUUCAUCUCCUUUUCCUUAGUCUGUCCAUGUGAAUGUGCUGUGUGGAAGAGUAAAAGGGCCCAACUAAAUGUGUUCCAGUGAUUCUAAUAGGUAUUCCAAAUUAAUUGUAUAUUUAACAGUUGUUAUGUUAGGGUUCUAAGAUCACCUUCAGUAGAACUUCCUUAUUUUUAAAGAUGUGGGGAAAAGUAAUUGGUAACCAGAUGGACAGAUUCUCUGUAAGAGAAAAGCAAGUUUUCUGAUUUUCCCUUUGCAUACCUGCACCGAGUACUUGGUGUCCUCUCUACAGUUGGACGUCCUUCCAUAAAGCUGUGUAUGAAAAACAAUAUCGACUAUCCUCCCUAACGUUAGAGAUUAAAUAAAAACUUUAGUUCUAAUGCAAAACAAUGAGUAAGAUUAAGAUAACUUUCUGUCCUUGUUUUCCCAACAUUUCUGCAUUUAUACACAAACUGCUUUAGAACAUCUGGAAAACACUGCGCUCCUUUAGGAUAAUGAAGUAAUUAAAAUGUAAAGUCAGUUGGGAAGUAAAUUUGACACGUUGACUGACAGAAUGGGAAGGUUUGUGGUGUAAGGUCUGGUCAUGCCAGUCCGGAGCAUGUAACCUGUGUACAUCUGAGUUUGAUAACACUCGGAGGAAAUUAAUUUUUCCUACUACAUACUCCAGAAUAAUGCUUAGAUAAAAUGAGAGGACCUGGGUGCAGGUGUAACUGUAUAGGUAGCAACACUUAAUGCGUAAUGGCUCUGAAGGCGCAACCCUCAUGGCUUCUAAAGAGCAGGCAACUCAAGGUUUCAUAACCAUUUCUGUUCAUUACAAAAAGCCCCAACUAGAAAAAUAAAAUUUGUUUCAAAAAUAAGCUGAAUUUAUGUGAUAAGGGAUGCCUUUUCACUUGUCUUCAUGGUAUAGUGGAAGAAACAUUUCUAUGGAAACUAAUCUUUUAUAAAAGCUGUAUGUACAGAGAUUAUUUUGAUACCAACUAAGGGCUUGCCCUUGUCAUGGGUGGUUUACAAUGUAUGGGAUUUAAUUCCUAGAAAAAAGGUGGAAGAGGUACCACCCAUUGCCUUGAUCCAUUCUUUGGAAGUAAGCAGUCUUUGUCUAUUAAUGUAAUCAGUGGUAGCCUUAAGAUGAAAAUAAUGUAAUGUCAUCCUUAUUCUAGUGAAUGGUUGAAAAGCACUUAAAUAUUUGAAACACAUCUGUAGUGCUCACAUUAUAAACUUUAAAUGCAAUACUUUGAAGAAUAUAUUCAUAAUAAAAUUUUUCUUGUCCCAGCUGUUUCCCUUUUAAAAAACAAUUUUAAGCUCUUAAUGUAUAAAGUAAGGUGUGUGGAAAUACCAGUAUUUGGGUAGUGAUACUGGCAUAUUGACCUGAUUUGAUAUUUACUGGAUUAUUUUAAGAUGCUUCCAAAGUUUAUUUUAUUCUAGAGAACCGCUACAAAUAAGAAUUACAGCAAUCGUUUUGAUUUUUCUACUUUGCUCACUAAGGUCUGCUUACCGAAAGGAUAGUGUAUUACUUUAACAUGACUUUUAAAGGGGUGGCUUGACCCCGUCACAGAUUUUUAUCUAGGAAUAGGAGGAUUCAAACCCUGUUUGAUCCCUCUUUGCUGAAAAGUGCAUAAACAGGAAUCCUGAAUUUAUUAUAUAGACCUCCUCGCAUUAUAUAAUCGAAGCAAAGGGAAACCAGCGAUGGAGUUAGAGGUACGUAGACUAAUAAAGAGAUGCUUGCAAAUCAAAUAAUGGUUCUAGUGCAGUCAAGAAUUCUUGUGACAAACUUGGUCAAUAUAAAUCAAAUCAGAAAAGAGCUUCUAAUUUAAAUACCCUGAGGUCCCUUUUACUGAGAUGGAAAAGCAAGUAGUCAAGAAAAAAGGAGGGGUGAGGGAAGGGGAAAAUGCAUAAAGUGCUAGGAAGAUUUAUGAAAGUAGGUAUUGUAGAAAAGCUGCCAGAAGUUUUCAAAACUAACAACUACAAUUCUAUUUUAAUCAGCUACUUAGCUGGUACCUACUGCUAUAUCACCUAGUGUGAGAUUUCGGAAUUAAUGGAACAAUGAAGGAGGCAGUGUGCUGGAGGCUUCCAAGGGAAUAUGGAAGGUCUUCAGUUUGUGCAUUCUGCUGUGAAAAUGAACUAACCUUGUUAAAUGAUGAAGGCAUUGGAAAUUUUUACCAGCUGAGAGGUUUCUUUGAUUACUCAGGGUAAGAUGUAAUUGUGGUGUGGUAGAGCUAGAAGACAAUGCAGUUGCCUGGUUUUACAUGUUAUAUGUGUUAGUAAACUAAGUUGUGUCUUGUCUACAUAGCUUGUUAAAAUGUCAGAUGAUUUGAUUAAUGCUUAUUAUUCUUCCCUAGUCAAGCAGUGCUGCCUCUUAAAAACUUCAUGUUUUUUGAGAACAGGGUCUCACUCUAGUGCAGGCUGGCCUCCAAUUUGCAGCAAUCCUGCUCCAGCUUCCCGAGUGCUGGGAUUACAGGCUGCAGCACCACAGCUGGCAAAACUUCCAUGUAUUUAAUCAUGACCAGUUACAUGUUGGUCUGUGCCAGUAAGAGUUGGCAGAUUUUGUAAUUGCAUUUUCCUUUCCAGUAAAUCAGUAUUCAAGUCCAAGUCCUCUGUUUGGUGGCUACCAAAGCAGAAUCAGUAAAACUUUUGUUAGAACGUGUGUUUGGCAACAUGCAUUGGGAGUUGUGGCAUUUGGUAAACCACAUGGCCUUUUACCCUAACCCUCACAGUGACAGUCACAAAAUGCCUCUGGUGAAAGGAACUGAACCAAGCCCUUUUCCUUUGAUUUUGAGAAGGUAUGCAAAACAAGGUAAUAGGUCUCUUCCUAUGAAACACCAAAUUGAAGGGACCAGUGGCUGAGAGCUUGUGUCUUAUUCCCUUGCCAUAUUGAGCAUCUACUUUAAGGAGGUCUGUUGCUCUCCUUGAGCUCCUGGACCCAGGCGAUCCUCUUGAUUCAGCCUAACCAGGACUGUAGGUGCAGGCCACAGGUUUUCUUUAAAAAGAAAUGUUUACUAAAACCAAUAGGAAGAUUUCUCCUGGAUGAGUUAAUACUAGGGAUUUGUGUUGGGUUAAUAUUGAGUGCCUUUAUUCUUUUUAAAAUUGCAGGAGAUUGACUUGUCUGAUUUACAUUAAGGUAACACAAUAUGUGUAAUUUUGACCAAACAUUUUCAUAUCAAAACAUACUGUGCAUACUUUUAACUGAAUUCACUUAAAAUGUUGCAUACUUCAAAAAACAUUAAGACUCAACUGAAAACGUAAGGUGGUGAUUUUGUUUUUAAGGCAAGUUAAUACAGUUGGGAUAGUUUCUUGAAAUCUCAAUUUUAAACUCAUUGCUUUUAUUGCAAAGAAACUUUUCCCACUAGGUUUUAGAAUUCUUAAUCACGCUGUCAGUAAAUUCUAAUAUUUUAAGCAUGCAUGACAGGUCUGUUCCAACACAGGAAUGCUGAGCUGACAGUAAAGGGUCACAAUGAGUUGGCAAGUUUUCCUACGAGUAUGAAAAAGACAGACUAUGGUUGAAACAUACUUUUUUUGUAUGUAUAAAAUGCUCUGUGUAGUUCCAACAUUGUUCACACUGACUUCAAGAAUUCCAUUUUCCAUGUUCAGGUUGCUCAGUUGCUGCUGUUGGUUUGUUUUCUUUCAGGAUCAAGGUGGGUGCUUUCAUACAAAAUCUUAUUUUUUAUUCCUUCUCUGGCAAUUCUUUGCUGGAUUCUUUGCUUUGCAUAAUUAUACCUGCAGUGGAACCUUAUAAUAUAAAUUGUUAAUAUAUAUAAAGUUCUAUAGAAAUUUAUAAAAUUUAGCUAUUCUUUAUAAUCACAAUUUUUAAAUGCUUACAGAUGAAGAUCUGAAGACUAAAUUACAAAUGUUCUAAUAGAGUACUGUUUUGGUGUCACAAUACCUAUGAACAAAAUCAUACUUACAUAAAAUGAGGAUUUGUCACCUUAGUUUUAAAUUGUUUUACAUUAAUCAUCAAUAGAACAAACAGGGAUGAAAUAAUUCAAAGAAGAUUAACAAAUGACAAACAUUCCAUUAUGAACUGUUUAUCUGUUCAAGCAUUCAACAAAUAGUAUAAUAUGUGGCUAUUAAAGGCAAAGGCAUUCAUUCCAUCAACAUUGCUUUGUAAGAUGGAUUUCCAUUAAAAAGCCUUUAAAAAAUAAGAUUUUCAGAAGGUGGAUUUCCCAAUGAGAUUUUUGGGGAAAGAACACAUGCUUUUGAGAUAGACAUCCUACUGUGAUCUUGGGUUUUCUGGAAUAGAUGGCAAACAUACCAACAUCCUAAAGUCACCACGAUAAAUCCUCCUACACCAACAUCACAUGAUCUUCUAAUUCUGCCUGUUAGGAAUAAGCAUAACCACUGUAAUUAUUAGACUAUAGUUCCAUAAGAUCAUUACCCCACCUAGAAAAAUUGUUUUCCACAGAGAAAAAGGAUUUUGCAUAGAGAUAUAAACAUAGAUACUCACUAGUUAACAAAAAGUGUCCAAGUCCAGCCACAACAGAUCCUAAUGAACCAUACAAUACCGAAUCCCGUGCACAGGGAAUGUUUUCAACAUCCAAAAUUCCUAGGAGCUUAAAGGGCUAGAUUAAAAAAAAAAGAACCUAGAUUGAACAAGAAUAUUUUAGUUCAGAAUAAUUAGCAAACAUCACAGUGCAAACAGUUUACUGUAUUUGAAGGGAUAAACUAGAAUAGAGCCAGUCAACAACCCUGGAUCAGUUAAUACUGUAUUUGAUUAUUCUGUUAAAUACAGUUGAACCUAUAAAAUUAGAAACAUUGAAAAUUUGUCCAGAAAGCCUGAAGCAGUAAUAAAACUCUACAUUCUGACAUAACUUGUUAAUCAGCUGAUUUUUUGGGAAUCAACAACUUUCAUUUCUUUGAGAAGUGUAAAUGAGAAAAGUUACUUGAGCCAUGUUUGCUUGUAGUAGUUAAACGGUGUUAAGAAUUCCUAAAACAUUUUAUUUUCAGGUUUAUUGGUGUUUAGAUGAAUAGCACCGGUUAUAACCUUUUACAUUAACAUGAACACGGGUAAUGUAUUUCUCUGGUCCCAAUUUCCUUGCCUGUCACAUGAAGUUGCAGAUUAUUAAUCUGAUUGAUAUUAUAUGGAACCCACAGCUAGGUAAAUCCUGACUGAAUUUUUGUGUCAGCACUGCCUCAAUCUACAAUGAAGGGGGAUUGAGUUUCUCCAAGUGCUACAGUGAAUUAUCUUUAUUGUAUUUUAUUUUCUCCAUUGUGUUCAACCAGAUGUCUUGUCAGUCCCAUAGACCUAUCUGUGACUGGCAGAAAUUUGUUUUGUGGGACAGAAUCUCGCUAUCCAAUCACUCUACCUCAGCUUCCUGAGUUCUGGGAUCACAGGUGCACACACCACCAUGCAGGCUUGACUAUGACAUUUCUGUCAAAGGCCUACAGGGCCUGGGUUGUGUGUCUCAGUGGGAGAGAGCACUUCUCUAUUAUGUGGAAGGUCCUGGAUUUGAUCUCCAGCAGUGUUAAAAACAUUCAAAAAACUUAAAUGAUGCUGGUUAAAUGUAAAGUCUUCCACUACUGCUUUAAAAAAAUACAUUGGUAUAGUGUGAGGCAGCGAACCUAGGAGGGAAAAGUACACAGUACAAAGGACUGAAAGGCAAGCCAUAGUGAAGGUUGAGGCAUGAAGAUUAUUCUAUUGUGUAUCACCCAUGUUUGCUUCUUUGACUUAAGCAUCUGCUGGUAAAGACAAAAUGUGACUUAUUUCAUAUUAAAGUAAAAAUUACACUCUU